rnacentral:rRNA from 1 species
GAUGAACGCUGGCGGCGUGCCUAAUACAUGCAAGUCGAACGGGGAGUAUUAAUUUCGGUUUUUACUCCUAGUGGCGAACGGGUGAGUAACGCGUUGGUGACCUGCCCCGAAGAGGGGGAUAACCCCGCGAAAGCGGAGCUAAUACCCCAUGUGGUCCUUCAGGUUAGAGGCUGGACGACUAAAGGAGCAAUCCACUUCGGGAGGGGCCUGCGUCCCAUCAGCUUGUUGGUAGGGUAACGGCCUACCAAGGCGAUGACGGGUAGGGGACCUGAGAGGGUGGUCCCCCACACUGGCACUGAAACACGGGCCAGACACCUACGGGUGGCAGCAGUAGGGAAUAUUGCACAAUGGGCGAAAGCCUGAUGCAGCAACGCCGCGUGCGCGAAGAAGGCCUUCGGGUUGUAAAGCGCUUUUCUGGAGGAAGAGAAAGGACGGUACUCCAGGAAUAAGGAUCGGCUAACUACGUG